rnacentral:tRNA from 1 species
GUGAUUAGCUCAGCUGGGAGAGCACCUCCCUUACAAGGAGGGGGGCCGGUUCGAUCCGUCCACACCA